GCCUUCGUGGUGUAGUGGUCAGCACGCUCGACGCGCAUUCGAGAGGUCCGUCCGUGGUUCGACUCCCGCCGAGGGCA
rnacentral:tRNA from 1 species